UACGGAGGGUGCGAGCGUUGUUCGGAAUUAUUGGGCGUAAAGCGCGUGUAGGCGGCUCCUUAAGUCUGAUGUGAAAGCCCUGGGCUCAACCCGGGAAGUGCAUUGGAAACUGGGGAACUUGAAUACGGGAGAGGGUAGUGGAAUUCCUGGUGUAGGAGUGAAAUCCGUAGAUAUCAGGAGGAACACCGGUGGCGAAGGCGGCUGCCUGGACCGAUAUUGACGCUGAGACGCGAAAGCGUGGGGAGCAAACAGG
rnacentral:rRNA from 1 species